CCUACGGGGGGCAGCAGUGGGGAAUAUUGCACAAUGGGGGAAACCCUGAUGCAGCGACGCCGCGUGAGUGAAGAAGUAUUUCGGUAUGUAAAGCUCUAUCAGCAGGGAAGAAAAUGACGGUACCUGACUAAGAAGCCCCGUCUAACUACGUGCCAGCAGCCGCGGUAAUACGUAGGGGGCAAGCGUUAUCCGGAUUUACUGGGUGUAAAGGGAGCGUAGACGGCAGCGCAAGUCUGACGUGAAAUCCCUUGGCUUAACCAUGGAACUGCUUUGGAAACUGUGCAGCUGGAGUGCAGGAGAGGUAAGCGGAAUUCCGAGUGUAGCGGUGAAAUGCGUAGAGAUUAGGAGGAACACCAGUGGCGAAGGCGGCUUACUGGACUGUAACUGACGUUGAGGCUCGAAAGCGUGGGGAGCAAACAGGAUUAGAUACCCUGGUAGUC
rnacentral:rRNA from 1 species